GUGCCAGCCGCCGCGGUAAUACGUAGGGUGCGAGCGUUAAUCGGAAUUACUGGGCGUAAAGUGUGCGCAGGCGGCGUUGCAAGUCGAGUGUGAAAUCCCCGAGCUUAACUUGGGAAUUGCGCUCGAAACUACGAUGCUCGAGUAUGGCAGAGGAAGGUGGAAUUCCACGUGUAGCGGUGAAAUGCGUAGAGAUGUGGAGGAACACCGAUGGCGAAGGCAGCCUUCUGGGCCAAUACUGACGCUCAUGCACGAAAGCGUGGGGAGCAAACAGGAUUAGAUACCCCGGUAGUCC
rnacentral:rRNA from 1 species